rnacentral:rRNA from 1 species
AAGCANAUCGCAUGAUCAGCUUAUAAAAGGCGGCGUAAGCUGUCGCUAUGGGAUGGCCCCGCGGUGCAUUAGCUAGUUGGUAAGGUAACGGCUUACCAAGGCGAUGAUGCAUAGCCGAGUUGAGAGACUGAUCGGCCACAUUGGGACUGAGACACGGCCCAAACUCCUACGGGAGGCAGCAGUAGGGAAUCUUCCACAAUGGACGCAAGUCUGAUGGAGCAACGCCGCGUGAGUGAAGAAGGUUUUCGGAUCGUAAAGCUCUGUUGUUGGUGAAGAAGGAUAGANGUAGUAACUGGCCUU